CCUACGGGUGGCAGCAGUGGGGAAUAUUGGACAAUGGGGGGAACCCUGAUCCAGCCAUGCCGCGUGUGUGAAGAAGGCCCUCGGGUUGUAAAGCACUUUCAGUGAGGAAGAACGCCUGGUGGUUAAUACCCAUCAGGAAAGACAUCACUCACAGAAGAAGCACCGGCUAACUCCGUGCCAGCAGCCGCGGUAAUAGGGAGGGUGCGAGCGUUAAUCGGAAUUACUGGGCGUAAAGCGCGCGUAGGUGGCUUGAUAAGCCGGUUGUGAAAGCCCCGGGCUCAACCUGGGAACGGCAUCCGGAACUGUCAAGCUAGAGUGCAGGAGAGGAAGGUAGAAUUCCCGGUGUAGCGGUGAAAUGCGUAGAGAUCGGGAGGAAUACCAGUGGCGAAGGCGGCCUUCUGGACUGACACUGACACUGAGGUGCGAAAGCGUGGGUAGCAAACAGGAUUAGAUACCCCUGUAGUC
rnacentral:rRNA from 1 species